rnacentral:lncRNA from 13 species
AAGGACUUCAUGAAUCUGCUGAGAAUUUAAGCCUGUCAUCACUUCUUGGGGCUUCAAGGGGAGUUCUCUUCAAUCAGCACUGUGGGAUUCAGAAAAGAGCUUUGUACUUUCUUAAUGGAAACCAUCGG